GUCCUCGUAGCUUACAAAAAAGCAUGCCACUGAAGAUGACAAGACGGUUGCCAUACGCACCCGAGGACA
rnacentral:tRNA from 1 species